rnacentral:rRNA from 1 species
GAUGAACGCUGGCGGCGUGCCUAAUACAUGCAAGUCGAGCGAACAGACGAGGAGCUUGCUCCUCUGACGUUAGCGGCGGACGGGUGAGUAACACGUGGAUAACCUACCUAUAAGACUGGGAUCACUUCGGGACACCGGCGCUAAUACCGGAUAAUAUAUUGAUCCGCAUGGUUCAAUAGUGAAAGACGGUUUUGCUGUCACUUAUAGAUGGAUCCGCGCCGCAUUAGCUAGUUGGUAAGGUAACGGCUUACCAAGGCAACGAUGCGUAGCCGACCUGAGAGGGUGAUCGGCCACACUGGAACUGAGACACGGUCCAGACUCCUACGGGAGGCAGCAGUAGGGAAUCUGCCGCAAUGGGCGAAAGCAUGACGGAGCAACGCCGCGUGAGUGAUGAAGGUCUUCGGAUCGUAAAACUCUGUUAUUAGGGAAGAACAAAUGUGUAAGUAACUAUGCACGUCUUGACGGUACCUAAUCAGAAAGCCACGGCUAACUACGUG